rnacentral:rRNA from 1 species
UACGUAGGGUGCGAGCGUUGUCCGGAAUUAUUGGGCGUAAAGAGCUCGUAGGCGGUGUGUCACGUCGGCCGUGAAAAACCUGCAGCUUAACUGUGGGCGUGCGGUCGAUACGGGGCAUCACUGGAGUUCGGCAGGGGGAGACUGGAAUUCCUGGUGUAGCGGUGAAAUGCGCAGAUAUCAGGAGGAACACCGGUGGCGAAGGCGGGUCUCUGGGCCGAUACUGACGCUGAGGAGCGAAAAGCGUGGGGGAGCGAACAGG